rnacentral:rRNA from 1 species
GACAGAGGGGGCAAGCGUUGCUCGGAAUUACUGGGCGUAAAGGGCGCGUAGGCGGGAUGGCAAGUCGGUCGUGAAAUCCUUCGGCUCAACCGAAGAACGUCGAUCGAUACUGCUGUUCUUGAGGAUUGCAGAGGAGACUGGAAUUCCCGGUGUAGCGGUGAAAUGUGUAGAGAUCGGGAGGAACACCGGUGGCGAAGGCGGGUCUCUGGGCAAUUCCUGACGCUGAAGCACGAAAGCGUGGGGAGCAAACGGG